GUUUAAUUGCAUUUAGCUGAGCUUGACCUUAAGCAUGCCUUUCAGCUUUGGUUUUUGAUCGUGACAAAUAAUCAAUUGAAAGAAUACUUUUAAGAACUCAAAAGCCAAAAAUAACACCUCUGUUGCCAACACCACCUCCCUUUCCCAUCCAGCUCUGAAAAGCACUUCCCUUCCUCUCUUUCUCCUCUAUCCAGCCAUGUCUUCCACCAAGCUCUGAGGCUGGGGCCUGGCAGCACACAGGAAGGCAGCUGGGGAGGGAGGAGAUGAAAGCAUUUGAGAAAAACCUGUUUGUUGCUGGCAGCCUUCUCUUGGAGGAAUGUGAUGCAGAGCACAGAUAAAAGCACGAGCAUCUGUUAAGAUGAUUGGCAUUAUCCUGACAACAGUGUAAAAAUCAUCUGCUUGGGAUGGCAAGCAGGCACAAGACAAACAAAAUCAACAUCAGCUUCAAUUUACAGUGAGUAUGAUAAAGCAUAUGGUGUAAUUCAAGGAGGCUGUGCAAAGCUUGUUGCUU
rnacentral:lncRNA from 1 species